AAGUAACAUUGGAGAUGUAGCUAGUAUACUGAAAGUGGGAAAAAGGAGACACACAGCAUUCAAGGAGGGGUAUGAAGGGAAGGAGACAGCACUCCUUGUGGAUAGAUACACAUUUAUGGACCUGUACCCCUGCUCCACAAGUGAACUGAAAGCUUUGGGAUACAAGGAUGUACCGAGAGCCAAACUGGCAGCACUAAUCCCAGACCCUGUGGUAGCUCCAUCCAUAGCCCCUUCGCUGAAAGACGAUGUUGAAAACCAGAGUAUCCCAAACCUGACACGUCCCAGAUGAUCCCUUUCCAGCUGCGACAUUUAGCUCCACCUGGACUCCAUCCUGUUCCUGGCGGAGUAUUCCCAGUCCCUCCAGCUGCAGUGAUCCUAAUGAAGCUGCUUCCUACCCCUAUUUACUUCCAGGAUCUUCCCUCACCCAUUUCUCCCACCCCUGAUUCCGACAAAUGAUGGCACUUAAUUUUAAUUAAAC